GAUGAACGCUGGCGGCGUGCCUAAUACAUGCAAGUCGAACGGAAAGGCCCUGCUUUUGUGGGUCGCACGAGUGGCGAACGGGUGAGUAACACAUGAGUAACCUGCCCUUGAAUUCGGGGUAACUCUAGGGAAAUGGGGAUAAUACCCGGUAGGAGAUCCUGCUGCACGGUGGUGGUUGGAAAGUUUCGGCGGUUGUGGAUGGUCUCGCUGCUUAUCAGCUUGUUGGUGGGGUAGUGGCUGACCAAGGCGACGACGGGUAGCCGGCCUGAGAGGGGGACGGGGCACCGGACUACUGCGAGACGGCGCAGACUAGUACGGGAGGCAACGGUGGGGAGUCUGACACAACAGGGCGACGCCUGAUGAGGCAACGCCGCGUUCGGGAUGUCGUGCUUUGGGGUAAGAACAGAUUUGUACUUAGACAAGACCUGAGUGACGGUAACUUAUCAGAAAGCCACGGCUAACUACGUG
rnacentral:rRNA from 1 species